GACAGCACAUGCUUCAGUGGUCUGGGAGUGUUUAUAUCCCUGUGAGUUUAACACUUCAUGACUGAGAGCUGUCCUUCAUGACAACAGAACCCACAACAACCAUGACUUUUAUCACCAUCUUCAUCUGGACACUUGCCCUCUGUCUCCAAGAGUCCAGAGGCCAGGUCACUGUGACUCAGACUCCUGCAGUGGAAACUGUUUCAGUGGGUCACUCAGUCAGUCUCAGCUGUAAGACCAGCAGUGCUGUAUUCAGUAACAGCAAUGGACAUUGGUUGGCCUGGUAUCAACAGAAACCUGAAGGAGCUCCUAAACUCCUAAUAUACUUUGCUAAAACACUUCAGUCUGGGACUCCAUCUAGAUUCAGUGGCAGUGGAUCUGGGAGUGACUUCAGUCUGACCAUCAGUGGAGUCCAGGCUGAAGAUGCAGGAGAUUACUACUGUCAGAGUAGACACUACCCCAACAGUGUCUGGGUGUUCACACAGUGAUACAGAGCCAUACAAAAACCUCCCUCAGUCAGACUGCACAGUGACUGUACUGCUCCAGCUGGGACCUACUGCAGGGGCUGAGGGGAGGAGACAGUGACAUGGAACACUGGACCUGUGGGUGUUGUCAGUUUAGGAAUGAUUUAACACGAGGGUGGAUAAGUUGACAUUAUAGUCAGCAUCACUGAUAUAUUAAGAUCAGUUUAUUUUAGUUCAGUCAGACCACAUAAAUAUGCCUUCCCUGUUGCUAUGGCAAACUAACCUUUUAUUAACAUGUCAGACAAUAAGUUGAAUGGACUCCAUCUUUGUGAAAUAUUGUCUCACAUGAUUUCAGAAUAAAUAUCCCAGUCUCUGCAAUGUC